GUAACGCGUGGGAACAUACCCUUUUCUACGGAAUAGCCUCGGGAAACUGAGAGUAAUACCGUAUAAGCCCUUCGGGGGAAAGAUUUAUCGGGAAAGGAUUGGCCCGCGUUAGAUUAGAUAGUUGGUGGGGUAAUGGCCUACCAAGUCUACGAUCUAUAGCUGGUUUUAGAGGAUGAUCAGCAACACUGGGACUGAGACACGGCCCAGACUCCUACGGGAGGCAGCAGUGGGGAAUCUUAGACAAUGGGCGCAAGCCUGAUCUAGCCAUGCCGCGUGUGUGAUGAAGGUCUUAGGAUCGUAAAGCACUUUCGCCAGGGAUGAUAAUGACAGUACCUGGUAAAGAAACCCCGGCUAACUCCGUGCCAGCAGCCGCGGUAAUACGGAGGGGGUUAGCGUUGUUCGGAAUUACUGGGCGUAAAGCGUACGUAGGCGGAUUGGAAA
rnacentral:rRNA from 1 species